AGGUGAGGGUCCUGCUGUGUUACCCAGGCCGGAGUGCAGUGACUACUUACAGGCACGAUCAUAGUGCACUAGAGCCUUGAACUCCCGGGCUCCAGUAUUACUCCUGCCUCAGCCUCCUGAGUAUCUGGGACUAUAGGAGUGCACCACCAUUCCUGGCAUAAUCCUCUUUUUAUGUUGAGUUGAAGAAAGUCACAAGACGUGAGACGCUUUAUGUUGCAGUUAAUGGUCUCUUCCUCCCUUUUCUCUGUUCCUGCAAAUGGACAAUUAUUCCUUCUCACAAGGUUUUUGGCUUCCCACUUCAGCAUGCCUCCAGCAGUGUUCUAAAAUUACUCUACAAUUGCCAAAGUAAGAGCAGCAGAUGCUCUAAAUCUAUUUCCAGGACACCCGUCUCAUGAUCAAG
rnacentral:lncRNA from 1 species